rnacentral:rRNA from 1 species
GUGGGGAAUUUUGGACAAUGGGCGCAAGCCUGAUCCAGCAAUGCCGCGUGCAGGAAGAAGGCCUUCGGGUUGUAAACUGCUUUUGUACGGAACGAAACGGUCCGGGUUAAUACCCUGGGCUAAUGACGGUACCGUAAGAAUAAGCACCGGCUAACUACGUGCCAGCAGCCGCGGUAAUACGUAGGGUGCAAGCGUUAAUCGGAAUUACUGGGCGUAAAGCGUGCGCAGGCGGUUUUGUAAGACAGGCGUGAAAUCCCCGUGCUCAACCUGGUAAUUGCGCUUGUGACUGCAAGGCUGGAGUGCGGCAGAGGGGGAUGGAAUUCCGCGUGUAGCAGUGAAAUGCGUAGAUAUGCGGAGGAACACCGAUGGCGAAGGCAAUCCCCUGGGCCUGCACUGACGCUCAUGCACGAAAGCGUGGGGAGCAAACAGGAUUAGAAACCCGUGUAGUCC